GUGGUCUUCACUUGACAGCACAUACACUAAAGAAAGUUGGAAUGAUACAGAGAAGAUUAGCAUGGCCCCUGCGAGAGGAUGACAUGCAAACUCAUGAGACAUUCCAUAUUUUA
ensembl:snRNA U6 U6 spliceosomal RNA